rnacentral:tRNA from 1 species
AAUAAAAUAGGAUAAUUUAGUCCAUGAGGUCCAUACCCUCAAAGUGUUAUCUUUUAUUG